AUUGAACGCUGGCGGCAUGCCUUACACAUGCAAGUCGAACGGUAGAAGGAGCAAUCCUUCGAGAGUGGCGAACGGGUGAGUAAUACAUCGGAACGUACCUGGUAGUGGGGGAUAGCCCGGCGAAAGCCGGAUUAAUACCGCAUAAGACCUGAGGGUGAAAGCGGGGGACCGUAAGACCUCGCGCUACCGGAGCGGCCGAUGUCAGAUUAGCUAGUCGGUGGGGUAAAAGCCUACCAAGGCGACGAUCUGUAGCUGGUCUGAGAGGACGACCAGCCACACUGGGACUGAGACACGGCCCAGACUCCUACGGGAGGCAGCAGUGGGGAAUUUUGGACAAUGGGCGCAAGCCUGAUCCAGCCAUGCCGCGUGCGGGAAGAAGGCCUUGGUUGUAAACCGCUUUUGUCGGGGUAAGAAAGUAACUCUGGACUAAUACUCUGGGGUGAUGACGGUACCUGAAGAAUAAGCACCGGC
rnacentral:rRNA from 1 species